GGGGGGGUGCCAAACCCAGGACCUGCCCCGGGUGCCACAUGCCCUAGGUACGCCCCUGUCUUAUGGCUUGACUGGUGUGCAGAUUUUUGUUUAAUAUUAUAUUGAAAAAAAUAAUAAAAAAAUAUAUCUAUCUGCAUUCAUUACUAACUCUUGUUAUUUUUAAGACUUUAUUUUUUUUUUUUUGGAAUCCUUUUUUAAGAGUGAGCACAGUGUAGGAGCGGACGAGAUGGACACUAUGACCUUUACUAGCAAUUUAAUUUUGGGGCAUGUUUGUAAAAAAUAUGAAUGUUUAUAUGCUCAAAUCCUAUGCAUUACACAUUCUGCACCAAACAUGAAGAUGAGUAUACUGAAUGCAUCUGUUUACAUCAAAGUGGUUCAAGGGCAUCUUUAAUUUAAAAUUACUUGUUUGGUUUUUGAGUUAGUGUCGCUUGAAUUUUCAUAUGAUUUUCAUGUACUACAGACACAAACACGUAUUUACUGGUAAGUGAUCUACAGUCACUUAAUUUAACAUUUAAACCGUCAUCUGUCAGUUCAUGUAACUUCAAAAUUGCAUAUACUAGAAAUCCUGAAGUUUAUUUUGGAUAUAGUUUGCCAGUACUGAUUUUAUUCCGUGGUCAAUGAAAAGAUCUCCUUUUUUCUUUAAUUUUGAUACAAUUAAUGCUAGCUCCUGAAAAUAUUGCAUCUCAGAUUGCAAAGAUACGAAAGACCCACUACCCUUACCAAAAGUUGCAAAAUAAAAUAGCGAAUUAGGUUGAUCCUGAUUGACUGCAACCUCAAAAUUUACAAGGUAAAAUAACUCCCCCUGGAAAAUAACUAAAUAUAUACGAGAGAUGGUCACUUCAUAGAACAUGAAGAAUGUGUAAAUGUAAUUUGUCGAACAGUUCCACGACAAUUACUUUUUUGGUCAUGGAUCAGAGCCUGAAAAAUACAUGUGUCUGUGGUUCACUGUGACAUGGCAUCAGAUAAUGGAUGUAUACAUUUUGCACCUAGUAGUAUUAUUAGUACUAUUUUUGUGUUUUAAUUUUUUUUUUUUUAUUAAAA